rnacentral:misc_RNA from 1 species
GAUGAAGAACGUAGCGAAAUGCGAUUAGUAGUGUGAAUUGCAGAAUUCAGUGAAUCAUCGAAUCUUUGAACGCACAUUGCGCCCCUUGGUAUCCCGAGGGGCAUGCCUGUUCGAGCGUCAUUUCACCACUCAAGCCUGGCUUGGUGUUGGGCGACGUCCCCUUUGGGGACGCGCCUCGAAACGCUCGGCGGCGUGGCACCGGCUUUAAGCGUAGCAGAAUCUUUCGCUUUGGAAGUCGGGGCCCCGUCUGCCGGAAGACCUACUCGCAAGGUUGACCUCGGAUCAGGCAGGGAUACCCGCUGAACUUAAGCAUAUCAAUAAGCGGAGGA